CGAAGGUAUUGAAUAAGGCUUUAAAUGGGUGCUAAGAGAAUGGUUUAACAAGGAGAGACUUUCUUUUUUUUUAUAUUAGAAGUUAAUUUGAAAAUGAAAAAGUUUUUAUAAAUUUUUGGGACAAGAAGACCCUAUGAAUUUUUUUAAAAGACUUUAUGUUUUAAUUAAGAUUAUCAGAAAUUUAUUUUUUAGUUAUGAUUGGGGUGAUUUUUAAAGAUUAUUAAUCUUUAAAAUUUUUUAAUAAAAAAGUUCCAUUAGUAGUGAUUUUUUGAUAAAAAUACUCUAGGGAUAACAGCGUUAUUAUUUUGGAUAGUUCAUAUAGAUAAAAUAGUUUGCGACCUCGAUGUUGGAUUAGAGAUCGGAUUCUUUUAUGACUGAAGAAGUUAUAAGGGAGAAGUUUGCUCAACUUUUAAAGUCCUACUUGAUCUGAGUUCAGACCGGA
rnacentral:rRNA from 1 species